GUCAACCUUAACCCACCAGCGCGUCUGCAAUCCCCUCCCCGUGCGGUAGCCGCCGCGGCUAUCAUGUGCCCGGCGCUGCUCUCUUGUCCUGGUGGCCACCGACGAAUCUAAGUCGACCCUGACGCUGCAUCAGCUGACCUGCCCCCACCGCCCGAUCCCCCACUCAAUCCUUCCUCGCCGCCGCCGCUGCCGCCGAAGACCUGGGGGGGACGAAGCUAAAUUGCGGACUGGACACCUCUGCGUCGAGGAUACCGACCUCGAGCAGUCCACCAAGAAUUCCGAGGAGGCCAUCCUCAGCGACCUCUCCUUGCUCGGCCUCGACUGGGACGAAGAAUUCCUACAGCAAAUCAAAAGUGAGCAUCACUGUAUUGUACAGCACACACUGUUUCUAACCCUGCAAAUUCCCAACGCAAGACUUCAUAAUGCCACAAGGACCAAGAAUCAGAGAGGAAGGUCUGCCAAGAAAAGAGGAUGUCACAUGGAAAAUGAUAUUGUACUUAUUAUGCUGAAUUCUGAAUUGUUGAAGAUCAUACUGUAUUUUAGCUAUUAAUCAUAAAUUUUUUAGAAUCAUGAGGCUCCUUCUGUAUGACCAUUACUAUGAAUUCUUGAAGGAACGUGAAGAUUAUCACUAAUUAUUGAAAGAAAACUGUAUACAUUUGUACUA